rnacentral:rRNA from 1 species
UACGUAGGGUGCGAGCGUUAAUCGGAAUUACUGGGCGUAAAGCGUGCGCAGGCGGUCUGUUAAGACCGAUGUGAAAUCCCCGGGCUUAACCUGGGAACUGCAUUGGUGACUGGCAGGCUUUGAGUGUGGCAGAGGGAGGUAGAAUUCCACGUGUAGCAGUGAAAUGCGUAGAGAUGUGGAGGAACACCGAUGGCGAAGGCAGCCUCCUGGGCUAGUACUGACGCUCAUGCACGAAAGCGUGGGGAGCAAACAGG